GCCGUAGGAUCCAACUAAGAUAUAAACAUAUAUCUAAAUAUAUAUUGCAUAUAAUUUCUUGUGAUUUUUUUAUCAAUAUAUUAUCUUGUACAUAUAUGUACACUACAUACAAACCUUGUCUAAAUAUGGCCAAACACCAUUCAGUCUCUAAAUCAUCAAGAGGAGGUUCAGUGCGCCUAAAACAGUUUUCUUAUACAGCUUACAUAUGCAUAUUUAUAAGAUCUUCAAUUUCAAAUAGAUUUUUUUUUUAUCUUUAUAAAAAUUAAAUUUAAGAUUCUUAAUUAUAAAGAUAUGUAAUAACAAAGAUAGGCAUAUUCAUGCUAAAUAAUGUCUCCCCAUUUUUUUUGUACAGAAAAAAACCGACUCUAAAUUGACCAAAGAAUAUAUUGUUAAGCACUAACGUAAUAAUAAUAUGCGAGACACUCUGUAUAUAACAACUCUAAUAAUAAAAGCCAAAAAAAAAUUA